rnacentral:tRNA from 1 species
UCCUGAUUAGCUCAGUUGGUAGGGCUCUCCACUGAAAAUGGAGAGGUCCCUAGUUCGAUACCAGAACCAGGCG